GCCAUUAAGGGUAGAGAGUAGCCUAGUUGAGCACUAAGUUUAGGUUAUAUGAGGGGAAGAACAGAAACUAAGGCUGAUAAGGUAGUGUAUGCCAUAACAAGAUAUCCUAGACUGGAUGGCUUAAGCAACAGAAAUAUAUCCCAACUUUGGGAAGUCUCCUUUCCUUCAAAGCAGGAAGAAAGCUUCCAGCCUCUCUCAGGAGCUUAGAACACCUGCAUGGGGCUGGGUGUGGUGGCUCAUGCCAAUUAAAUAUUUUUCUUGCAGCCAAGAUAUUGUUACUACAGAUUACACAACCUGAUAUGGUAACUUUGAAUUUUGGGGGCUUUGAAUCAUUCAGUUUAUGCAUUAACUAGUCCCUUUGUUUAUCUUUCAUUUCUCAACUCCUUGUGCUUUGGUGAUACCAGACAUCAGAAUAAAAAGAAAUUGAAGUACCUGUUUUCAAAUGGAUACUUUAUAGGAAUUUUGGUAAAGAUUUGGUGAUGGGAGGAUGACUUGAGGUUUGUGGAUAUUAGUUAAUUAUUCAGUAUGAUACCUCACCCAGCUAAUUUAGAUUUUUCUAUAUUCGGUUUUGCUUUCAUUGACAAUUAAUAUCCUGGAGGAUCAGAAGACUUGUCUAUUUCUGCUGAGUCACUGGCCUCAGAA
rnacentral:lncRNA from 1 species